rnacentral:hammerhead_ribozyme from 1 species
AUCCAGCUGACGAGUCCCAGACAGAAAGAAACGCGUGUCCCGGAU